GUGAGGAAGCAGCAUGUUAUACAAGACUAGUAUACGUGGAGAUGAACGCAUGACAAAAUGAUUUCUGCUGUCUUUAUUAGAAAGUCUAUCUUUUUUUUAAAUGACGACAUCUGAAUUAAAUUAAGUAUGUGUAUACUCACAGUCAAAUAAGCAGAAUACAAUUAUAAGAGCAGUAAUCUUAUAAACAAACACCAUUCUUCUUUAUUCUGUAUGGUUCACUGUUGAAAUCGUUGACGCGACAGAUAUGAUAGAGUUUUUCAUUACGUGUUGGAUCAUACAAACAAAAGCU
rnacentral:lncRNA from 1 species